GAUGAACGCUAGCGGCAGGCCUAAUACAUGCAAGCUGAACGGUAAAUGUUAUAGCAAUAUGAUAUGAGAGUAGCGUAAGGGUGCGUAACACGUAUGCAAUCUGCCCGCAACAGGAGGAUAGCUCCCCGAUAGGGGAAUUAAUACUCCAUAAUAUCACGAGAGGGCAUCUGAUUGUGAUUAAACUCCAAGGGGUUGCGGAUGAGCAUGCGUCUGAUUAGUUAGUUGGUGAGGUAAGGGCUCACCAAGACGAUGAUAAGUAGGGGAACUGAGAGGUUGAUCCCCCACACUGGCACUGAGAUACGGGGCAGACUCCUACGGGAGGCAGCAGUAGGGAAUAUUGGUCAAUGGGUGAGAGCCUGAACCAGCCAUGCCGCGUGCAGGAAGACGGCCUUCUGGGUUGUAAACUGCUUUUGUCAGGGGAUAAAAUACCCGUGCGCGGGGAAUUGAAGGUACCUGAUGAAUAAGCCACGGCUAACUACGUGCCAGCCGCCGCCGUAACAC
rnacentral:rRNA from 1 species